rnacentral:rRNA from 1 species
CCCUUAGAUGUUCUGGGCCGCACGCGCGCUACACUGACGAAUGCAACGAGCUUAUAACCUUGGCCGAAAGGUCUGGGUAAUCUCCAAAUUUCGUCGUGAUGGGGAUAGAUUAUUGCAAUUAUUAAUCUUCAACGAGGAAUGUCUAGUAAGCGCAAGUCAUCAGCUUGCGUUGAUUACGUCCCUGCCCUUUGUACACACCGCCCGUCGCUCCUACCGAUUGAAUGGUCCGGUGAAGCGCUCGGACCGCGGCCUCUUGACGGUUUUCCGUCGAUUGGCUGUGGGAAGUUCGUUAAACCUUAUCAUUUAGAGGAAGGAGAANUCGUANCA